GCAUGUCGAACGAAGCACUUGUGCUUAGUGGCGAAUGGGUGAGUAACACGUACUUAAUCUACCCUCAAGUUUGGGACAACAGUUGGAAACGACUGCUAAUACCGAAUACAUACAACUAUCGCAUGAUAGUUUUAUAAAAGGAGCGUUUGCUUCGCUUAAGGAUGAGAGUGCGUCGCAUUAGUUAGUUGGUAGGGUAAAGGCCUACCAAGACGAUGAUGCGUAGCGGGGUCGAGAGGCUGGAC
rnacentral:rRNA from 1 species